UAGUUCUCCUUUCCCUUUCUGACGUGGACUUGUCAGUACUGUUUUGUGGGUCAGGUGAGUGAUCAGGACUAGAAGAGUCUGGACAUGGAUCAGGCAUACCGUGGGCCAGGGCCACGUGGUCCACCCAGGUGAUGUCACAGGUUCUUCAUGCUUUGUAUUUACUACUACUGUGGACACAAAUGCUAUGUGUACACACUGAAUGAUGAGUAUGAAUGGGGCAUAACGUGUUUAUUUUUCCUCUAGUUUGUUUUUUCCUUAAGUUAUUAUUUAACAGGCUCCUAUUUUGGGAGCUUUGAGUAUAUUCCAUCUUUAAUUCUAUUUUCAUCACAAAAGUGUUCUCUCAAAUUAGAACUGACCAUAAGGCCCCAAAAGAAAGCUCUUAAAAUACACACACACACACACAUAUCUUACCACUUGGUUUUAAGUUUUUCUUAAAUGUUCAGCCAGGUUUUCCAAAUGGUAUAAACAAUAAAAGGGGUAAACUAACACUAUACGUAAAUAUCCUUCCAAAAAGGUUGGCAUUGACUGUUGGAAACCUUGUAUAAAGGUGUGCCUGAAGGGGUGUGGUCUGUGAGGGUGGGGACAGGAAGUCAGUCAGUUGAUUAGCUAUGGACCAAGUGUCCUUUUAAACUCACUGCUUUAAAUACACUUUCAACAGUGAUUUUCAUAAUUGGAAGAGCUCACUCUGAAC